GAGUUGAAACUCGAUGAUCUGUAGAGUUGGCUGAAAACGAGUGGAAAAUAUAUAUAUAAAGAAUUGAAUUUACAAAUUUUAAACUUGCAGACUUUGCUACUGUGAAUUGUUGCAUGCGGUUUGUGUCUGUACUAAACCAGUAUGUCUAGUGUCUGCGCUUAACUGGAGCUUUUCAAGCAAUACGCGUAGUGCAGACACAAGCCACAGCACAAUGAAAUCAAAACUGUAAAAUGCAAUGCGUACCAAACUGUAUUUAGCCAAGACACUGACAAAUGUAUCUCGCGCUCUGGCUGCCAAACUGUGACUGUAAUGCCGUGACUGUCAAACCAAUUCAAAUUGAAUCAAAAUGCAAACAAGCUCAUAUAGGACAAAUACACAUACAGCAAAGUAAAACUUACCUAGCUAAGGCAUUGGAACUUAUCUGCCUGCGGCCGGAACUGCAAACAAAUUGAGAAUA